GGGCAGUGUAUUGUUAGUUAG
rnacentral:miRNA from 1 species